CUACGGGGUGCUGCAGUCGAGAAUCUUCCGCAAUGGACGAAAGUCUGACGGAGCGACGCCGCGUGCGGGAUGAAGGCCUUCGGGUUGUAAACCGCUGUCAGUGGGGAGGAAAUGCAUCAGGGUUCUCCCUGGUGUUUGACCGAUCCGCAGAGGAAGCGCAGGCUAAGUUCGUGCCAGCAGCCGCGGUAACACGAACUGCGCGAACGUUAUUCGGAAUCACUGGGCUUAAAGAGUUCGUAGGCGGCCUUUCAAGUCGGGUGUGAAAUCCCUCGGCUCAACCGAGGAAUUGCGCCUGAUACUGUUGGGCUUGAGGGGGAUAGGGGUGAGCGGAACUGAUGGUGGAGCGGUGAAAUGCGUUGAUACCAUCAGGGACACCGGUGGCGAAGGCGGCUCACUGGAUCUCUUCUGACGCUGAGGAACGAAAGCUAGGGGAGCGAACGGGAUUAGAUACCCCAGUAGUC
rnacentral:rRNA from 1 species